rnacentral:lncRNA from 1 species
ACCUUACUCCACAAUAUCAUAUGUAAUGAUCGUUUGCGUUGUCUUUAGAUUUUGAUAACAACUUUGGUAAAUAUUUGAGAGAAGGAUAUCCAAUUUGCACCCAUGAUAGUGUGAAAAUCUUCACUUCAACCUUGAAAAUAACAUAUUGUAUGUGGAAUAAAUUUUUCUGAGGAUGAUGGCCUAAUGACGAGUCCAGAAUAGUAUACUAUAAACUAUUUAUCUACAAUAAUGUAAUUCAAAAGUCAUAAAUAUAAUAACAUAUAUAAUAUUUUUACAUACGCAAAUAUAUUAAAAGUCAAUCUUUGCAUUAUUGAUCGAGUAAACUCUUACAUAUAUUUCAGCUCUAAGUUGUACUCGUUUAUUUAUCAAAUAUUCAAUCCAUAUUUGUGAGAUGUUUCGAUACAUCAAAUGUAUGGAGACUUUAGGUUCUUUAGUUGCACUUGUUACAGUGACAAAUGCAAUGUAUCAUGCAUAAAAUUUUACCUUUGAUAAUUGCAUGAUAUAUAUCGAUGCAAGCAGAGCAUAAAAGUGUAGAGAAAGAAAUGCUAACAGAAGAGGAAGUUGCACUACUAUCCAAUAUCAAUUUCCGAGGCUACGAUAAAAGGCUAAGCCAAUCUAAACAUCAUUUAAGUAAACUAUAUAUAAAAAAUAUUUAUACAUAUUAUGCUCUGUUAGACAAGCUAAGGCAAUCUAAACUUCAUAUCGAAUGCGCUAUUUUUAGACAAAGAGAAGUAACAGAAAAAUGAACUGCUAUGCAGUACCAAAAUAUAAGGCUACAAUACAAAUCUAGAACAGUGUAAACACCAUAACACUAAACUAUAUAUAAACAAUAUUUAUAGAUAUUGUUGUUAAAGGCGUAACCUCUUUUUUCCCCUUAGUUUGUCUAAAGAUAUCAGGAUUCAUCCAGUUGUUAUCCACUGCAGGCGUGAAAAAAUAAUAUUUAUAGAUAUUACUAUAGAAGGAGUGAGUUUUGUAGGAAGAGAAAGAAGAAGAGUAGGAGGCAUGACUUAGGAUUAAAAAGAGGCAUGUCUUUUGAAUAAAGGAAAAGAGCAAGAUAUAAGAAAAUUGCAGAAUAGAUUUCCUAGUUUUACAAUAGUGCUCUGGGAAAAGAAUGUUUCUGAUCAUUAUGUUUUUGUCGCUUUGUUAAAUGCGUAUUUUGGACUUCAAUCAGAACGCAAAGGAAAUAAGCAGGCCAAAUAUAAUAAUACUAAUGUAGGAUGAAUCUAUAUAUAUAAUCAAUAUUUAAAGAAAUUAUUGUCGAACUUUGCUUCCAAGUAAAAAAGCAGUAAUGAGGCAAAUAAUUAUAGUAUUUCAUAAUAUUUAGACAUUAGUUAUAUUGUGUUAAAAUCAUAUAGUAGUGAAUAAAAUUUAAUUUUUCACAAAGUUUGAACUGUUCUAGAAUCUUAACACAAUGUUUACAUCCUUAGUUAUUGAUUUUGGAAGAAAAUUAGAGUAUUCCAGAAUAUUCACACCAAUAGUUAUGAAUUGUGCAAAAAGCAUAGUAGUGAAGAAGUUUUGGACUGUACCUCAAUCUCUUCACGGUAUUUUGGCACCCCAAUCAUUGGUUGUCCACACCUAUAAAGUAAGAUUAGGAUGUAAACAAUUUUAGAAGAAUAAGAAAAUGGCAUAAAUGGUAAAUAUUAACUUUGAAAGGAUUAGAAACCGUGGGCGAAAAUAUAUUUUGUUUCCUAGACUUCAUUGGCAUUUGGUGAGGAAAACUGUGGCGAGGGAAAAACCUAGAGGUUAGCAGUGAAUAAAGCAGAUUUUCAAAUUUUGGACUGUACCUCAAUCUCUUUACGGUAUUUUGGCACCCCAAUCAUUGGUUGUCCACACCUAUACAGUAAGAUUAGGAUGUAAACAAUUUUAGAAGAAUAAAAAAAUGGUAAAUAUUGACUUUGAAAGGAUUACAAACAGUGGGCAAAAAUAUAUUUUGUUUCCUAGGCUUCAUUGGCAUUUGGUGAGGAAAACUGUGGCGAGGGAAAAACCUAGAGGUUAGCAGUGAAUAAAGCAGAUUUUCCUUUCCCCUAAAAAAAUAAAUAGAACAAAGAAGUUAGAGAGAGUUGCGUUUGAAGAAUUUUAACAAAGGUCAAGGUAGCGAGAAGUUGCAGAAGGAAAUUAAAAAUAGAGAUGAAAGAUUAGAGAUGAAUCGAUAGAGUAUGAAAAGUGAGAUAAGUAGGGCAACAGUGAGUAACAAAUCCCUGUGGGAAGAAAACUAUGUUUGUGGCCUGUGGGAAGCGGCGUUUGUGUAUGUGAAGCGGUAAGGUUGUAGCGUGAGGAGUCUUUUGUUGUUGAGCGGUUAAUCUUUAAGUUUUAAAGGGGUGAAUUUUCUGACAAGUGAAAAGACGUAGAGGCAGAAAAAUGAAUUUCCU